rnacentral:rRNA from 1 species
CCUACGGGUGGCAGCAGUGGGGAAUAUUGGACAAUGGGCGAAAGCCUGAUCCAGCCAUGCCGCGUGUGUGAAGAAGGCCUUCGGGUUGUAAAGCACUUUCAGUGGGGAAGAAAGCCUUGGGGCUAAUACCCUCGAGGAAGGACAUCACCCACAGAAGAAGCACCGGCUAACUCCGUGCCAGCAGCCGCGGUAAUACGGAGGGUGCGAGCGUUAAUCGGAAUUACUGGGCGUAAAGCGCGCGUAGGCGGUCUGAUAAGCCGGUUGUGAAAGCCCCGGGCUCAACCUGGGAACGGCAUCCGGAACUGUCAGGCUAGAGUGCUGGGGAGGAAGGUAGAAUUCCCGGUGUAGCGGUGAAAUGCGUAGAGAUCGGGAGGAAUACCAGUGGCGAAGGCGGCCUUCUGGACUGACACUGACGCUGAGGUGCGAAAGCGUGGGUAGCAAACAGGAUUAGAUACCCUAGUAGUC